rnacentral:rRNA from 1 species
ACAAGCGGUGGAUGAUGUGGUUUAAUUCGAUGCAACGCGAAAACCUUACCUACCUUUGACAUGUACGGAAUUCGCCAGAGAUGGCUUAGUGCUCGAAAGAGAACCGUAACACAGGUGCUGCAUGGGCUGUCGUCAGCUCGUGUCGUGAGAUGUUGGGUUAAGUCCCGCAACGAGCGCAACCCUUGUCAUUAGUUGCUACAUUCAGUUGGGCACUCUAAUGAGACUGCCGGUGACAAGCCGGAGGAAGGUGGGGAUGACGUCAAGUCCUCAUGGCCUUUAUGCCCAGGGCUACACACGUGCUACAAUGGGCGGUACAAAGAGAAGCAACCUCGCGAGGGUGAGCAAAUCUCAAAAAGCCGUUCUCAGUUCGGAUUGAAGUCUGCAACUCGACUUCAUGAAGUCGGAAUCGCUAGUAAUCGCGGAUCAGCAUGCCGCGGUGAAUACGUUCCCGGGCCUU